GCUACUUUGACGUCAAUAUGAAGAAAACUUAGGGAAGAAGGUUGAUGAGUGCGAUUAUAUUAUAUAAGGCUUCAUCUACUACUGCCACUCUUGGUACAAAGACUGGAAGAGGGGUCUCGCAUUUGGGUCGCCCGGGUUUUGGAUUAGUGUUUUGAGAGAGAGAGAUGGGUCCAGGUGGUCCGGGUCCUGGUGGCCCUCCUGGCUGGGGACCUGGGCCUGGAGGUCCUGGUUACGGCCCCUGUGGCUUCCUCUCUUCAUGCCUUUACUUCCUGUGUUGUUGCUGCUUAUUACAAAGUUGCUGUGGACCCCUCUUUGGAGGACCGCCGGGCCCUCGUCCCUUCUGAUCUCUACUGUCUUUCCUAGAAGUUAAUAGAUUCAUGUUCCUUUGUCAUAUCGAUUAUAUGUAAUACAAAAUAGUUGCUUUACUUCAUUGUGUGAAUUUAUGAUUAUCUAGGAAUGUGAUUGUAAAAGUUAUGAGCAUUUUAUUUGGUUUCACUUGUAAAAUGCUCUACGAAAGUACGAUUAAUUAUUAAUAGGAUAUCGUUUUUAUGAUUCGACUAA